CCAGCACUUCUCCUUCCUGCCACCAUAUGAAGAAGGACAUGUUUGCUACCCUUUCCACCAUGACUGUAAAUUUCCUGAGGCCUCCCCAAUCAUACUGAACGUUCUUUAAUUCCUACAACCUGGAUCUUAUGUUUCUGCUUCUCCACUCUUGUCUUACUGGGGUUCCUGUCCUACACCAUGAGAGACGCCAUAUAUGCUGUCAUGGAGUCCUUGUUGCUCGUGGAGUCCUUGUUGCUACUGUCAAGUUGCUGAACCUACUACGUUCCCAGCAUAAUAAUCACCUUAUAUACAUCUCAAGAACCUACUACGUUCCCAGCAUAAUAAUCACCUUAUAUACAUCUCAGGAACCUACUACGUUCCCAGCAUAAUAAUCAGUGCUGAAGAAUUUACAAUCCCCAAUUAAUUCACCAUCAAGUGAGAGAAGCAGGAAAGGAAACCAACGGUUGAGAAACCAAAUGCCAAAUGCUAUGACUGAGACGGACACAGGGAGCUCCAGGGACUGAGUAAAAUGCGAGAGUGGUCUGAGGAGAGUGGGCUGCAGCAAAAGUCUCAGCAGUGCAGUGGCUGGCACUGGAGCUGGUAGCUGAAGAUGCUGCUCCCCAGGCAAAGGAAAGAGAAUAUUUCACACAGAAAAGGGAAAGAGAAUAUUCCAGGCAGAAAAAGGAAAGAGAACAUUCCAUGCAGAAAAAGGAGCAUAAGCAAAAUUCUAAAGGUGCAAAAGAAAAAUGCCAAGGACCAGCAAAUCAAAGUGCCUUACCGUGUCUUUGUCCAAGGACAUCUGAUUUAAGUAUAAAAAUGCAAAAGGAAAAUCCCUAAAUUGGCAAAGUCUGCCUAAAGGAUUGGCCAACAUUGGAUGCUAAUGACUUGCACUCAAUCACAGCUUCAGGCAGAUGAGUAAGUGAUUUUUCUAAUGCAAAAAUGAUACAUUAUUAUUGCCUGCUAACUCUGACUGACUGGUGUUGGUUGGCUUAGAAAAUUGUUUUGAGGAGGACUUGAAAGUUGUGACUCAGCUCCUUAUGAAAGCCACACUUGAUUAGUGAUGUCUGCCAUGAACAUGGGAAAGGGUGUAUAUUUACCUGUGCUUCAUAUUUGCCAUUCCUGUUGUAAAAGACCCGAAAG
rnacentral:lncRNA from 1 species